UUCUUUCUAGAAACACUUUCCAGUACUUCUACUUUGUUACGACUUAUUUCAAUUUAUAUAUGAAAGCGACGGGCGAUGUGUGCAUAUUUUAAUUUUUAAUCAUUUUAUUAAAUUAAAUAAAAUUACAUUUAAAUCCACCUUCAAUAAAAUUUUUCAAUUUCAUAUUCAUUUAAAUAAUUUUAUUGUAAUCCAUUAUAUUCUUAAUUAUAAUCUACAUCUUGAUCUGAAUUAAUUUUUUAUCUAAAUUUUUAAAUAUUAUUUUUUAUAAAAAAUAUUUUUUUAACAACGAUAUAUAAAAUAUUAAAUUAAGUAAAUUUAUUCGUGGAUUAUCAAUUAUUAAACAGAUUCCUCUAAAUGAACUAAAAUACCGCCAUAUUAUUUAAGUUUCAAUAAAUAAUUAUUUACUAUUUUAGUAUUAUAAUUUAAAUUUUUAAUAAUAGGGUAUCUAAUCCUAGUUUAAAAUAAAAUUUAUUAAAACAUAAUUUUUAUAUAAAAUUUAAUUGAAUUAAAAUUUCACCUUAUAAUUCAAUAUUUAUUUUAAUUUAAAUUUAUUAUUUAUAAACUGAAAUAAUUUAAUUUAACUUUUGUAUAACCGCAACUGCUGGCACAAAAUUUGUUAUCAAUUUUUGUAUUACUAAAUCUUAAUUUCUUAAAUUUUUAAUUUUAUUUACUACAAUUUUUAAAUUAUUAUUAUUAAAAUAAUAAAAAAUUAACACUAAAAUUUAUAUAUAAAAUAAACUCUUAAUAAAUUUUUUUAAACAUAAUUAUUUAUUAUCUA
rnacentral:rRNA from 1 species